CCCUAUUGUAUAGACAUUUGGGUUGAGUUUUUAAAGAAUUAGUUGAUUGUAUAGAUUCUUUACUUUUUUGUAUGCCACUUGUAUAUGGUUGUUUUAUGGCCUUGUUUGUGAUAUUAAAUAUGUUUGCUUGAUCAAACAAAAAGGAAGGGGAGGUGAGACGUAUGGGCAUACCAUAAGAGAUAAGAGAUAUGAUUAGAAAUGAAGUUAUACGAGGAAAGAUGGAAGUGACCUGUGUGACGCAAAAGAUGAGGGAACUGAAGCUGAGAUGGUUCGGACAUGAGGUGUGUGAAUGCACCAUAAGGAGGUGUGAGAUGUUGGCUACAACGGGAGAGUUAGAGAUAGGCUCGAAGAAGAACCGGGAGAGGUGAUUAGAUAAAGCAUCUCAUAGUAUAGCUUACUGAUAACAUUACUCCAGAUAGGAAGGUAUGAAGAUCGAAGAUUAGGGUAGAAGAUUAGUAGGUAACUAAGUAUUAUCCCAUGGCUUGUGGUUGAGGCAGGUGGCCUCAUCUUCGCUUUUCCUUAUUAGGUAGAUUAUUUAGUAAUCACAUAGUUUCUUUUCUUAAUGUUUAUUACUAUUUCUUGCUUCAUUUGAUUUAUAUCCUGUUAUUUUGCCAUUUUAUUUCCUUUCAAUCCUGCUUCAGAUUCUUCUUUUAUUUGAGCUGGUGGUUUAUCAAAAACAACUUCAUACCCCACAAGGUAGGGAUAAGGUCUAGGUACAUCCUACUCUCCCCAGGUCCCACUUGUGGGUUUACACUGGUAUGGUUUUUUUUUUGUGAUGAAUUAAGUGGUUGUAUUUAGAAGUAUCAAGAAGAUGCAAGAACUUAUAGUGAAAAAUAAGUAAAGGCUGUUAAGUCACUGUUAGGGAGCUUAUUAAAUUUAAAAAGGAAAACCAUAUCAUUUACAUGGAAGGGGAAAAGUUGCUCCAACGGGAAAGAUUUGUUGUACUUUUAAUUUCUAGGAGCAGUUAGGAGUUGAAGUCCCAUCAAAACACCUAUUGUUUCAUUCCAUGUGUUGUUUCGUUCCAUCCAUAUACACCGAAAUGUCCAUAUACACCGAAAUAUACAUGCUGGUACCAUUUGCCAGAUUUUCUUGAUGGAUCUAUCCACUUUCCUUAAGCGAUCCACUUUCCUUAAGCUCCCACUUUCAAUCCUUCUUUUGAGGCUUUAAUAAAUGUGUUGCUUCCUUUUUCACCCUUCCUGUUCAUGUAUUUUCUUUAGAGCUGUUCUAGUGUAAGAAUUGAAGGUUGUAAAGUUCCAGUUGUAGGCUAAUAGUAUUCCUUACGUUAAUUUGCAGGUUCUUCUUGGACAAUCUGAUGUGUCCGGAUGGGGUGCUUUCUUGAAGGUCAUAGCUAAGAACAGUUGUGCCUUUUCUCUUUCUAUCUGCACAUCCUUGUUAUUUUUGGGCUUACCUUUAGAAUUCCUUACAGAAUAAUGUUAGCAAGCACGAUUACCUUGGGGAAUAUACCGGUGAAAUAAUCUCUCACGAUGAAGCCGAUCGGCGUGGAAAGAUAUAUGAUCGUGAAAAUUCUUCGUUUCUCUUCAAUUUAACUGACCAGGCAUGAGAAACAACUUGCCCUUAAUACCUUGUUAAGUACAUGCAUAGAGUAGAGCCUCAAUUGUAGUCUUACAUGAAUUACUUGUCUUGUGUGCAUGUAGUCUGUGCUUGAUGCUUAUAGGAAGGGUGACAAGUUAAAGUUCGCAAACCAUUCUCCUAAUCCAAAUUGCUAUGCCAAGAUUAUUAUGACGGCCGGAGAUCACCGAAUUGGUAUAUUUGCCAAAGAAAAAAUUUAUGCUGGACAAGAACUCUUUUAUGAUUAUGAUUAUGCGCCAGAUACAAAGCAUGUCUGGGCAAGAAAGCCUGAGGCACCCACUACAAGAAAGUAAGUCCGGCAAGGACAUUUAUAAAUGUCGUAUUAAGUUACAUUAGCUUUUGUUUUUAAUUAACAUGAACGUCUUGAAAUUUCAAUGUCGGAAAUUUUCCGACAUCUAAGUAAACAUUAAUAAAAUAUUUGCGACAUUUCAACUUUGCCUUUAUUAAAAGAAGUAAUAAAUUUAUGAUUUUAUUUACAACGUUUGUGAAAUGUCACAUUGGAAUUUCCAUCUAUGUUAAUGUCGCUAAACGUUUAAUGGCAUUUAUUUCUUUACGAUUUUAUUAGAUUUCUACAUUAUAUGUUUUUAGCUUAUUGUUUACAACUUCUUUAAAAGUGUUUGAAAUUUUUUAGUUAUUAUUGACACUAAGUCGAAUAUUUUUAAUAUAUCACGCAAAUGUUGCCGAGGGUCUUUCGAAAACAACCUUUCUACAAUCAAAAUUGAACAAAUUGAUAAGGCUUUAUAAAGAGCAACAAAAACCAAAUGAGAAGUGAUGACACAUAUUAAAGUGUCUACUCAAUAUUUUACGCUUUUAUAAAGUGACGUAAAUCUCAUAGGAGUCGUUUGGUGUGAGGUAUAAGGUACAAUAGUUCCGAGAUAAAAUGCAAGAUUAUUUUAUCCCGCAUUUGGUUAGAGGUAUUAAUUAGUUCCGGGAUUAUUUAUCCCACUAUUUAUACCUUAGUGAUGAGAUAAAUUAUUCCAUAUACAUGGUGAGAUAACUAAUUCUAGAAUAAGUUGUCUCUGGAUAUGUGGAUUAUAUCCCAGGAUAAUUUGUUCCCAACAAAAUGACUCCUUAAGGCCUUGCAUAAAUACUAGUACAUAUGAAAAGACAAUAUAUUAAUUCUAGUACCGGUAGCUUGCAUAAAAGGUGUAAAUUUGGAAAGUGAAAAGGUUUGGAAUGUAAAAAUAAAAUAUAAGACAAUUUAUACAACGUGAACAGUUAGUAAGAGAAAUGAACUAACAAAAUAAAACCAACUUGUCAAAAGACUAAGAUUAAUAGCAGAAGAUGAAAAUCUCUCCCCAUUAAAUUGUAGUGUGACAUUACGUAGUGAUGAGACUGCUCUUAGUUUAAUUUAUGAAAUAUCUCAUAUCGACGUCAAUUGUAUACAUGCCAAAAGUAAAAAAUGCGACGAUGAGAUCACAGAGGGUUAACACGGAAGCUAAUAUAUCACAAUAA